AUUUUCUUUCUUUUGUAAAUGCGUAUAUAUGUAAAUGAGUGAGGGUUUCUUUUCUUCUAGAAAUGAAAUUCUAGCUUUACACCAUACGGCUGCCGGUAGUAAUUUGAUUGGCUCAGCCAAAAUGGCUUGUAAACUUUUAGUAUAUUUUUUUUCCCCUUUACAUUAUUGGUUCGGUAGACAUGUGGCUUGUAUUUCCUUGUUUGAGAGCUGUUAUGUGGAUAACCUCAAUGGUUGGAAAAAUGAACUCGGAAAAUUU
rnacentral:misc_RNA from 1 species